AUUCUUUUGUGGUCAAUAAAUCUGAUGACUGAGUUUCCACACCAUUAUGUAUGGCUCUCUCUAACCUUGUUAUGAUGUCAAAAAAUUACCUGUCUGACA